rnacentral:lncRNA from 1 species
AGACACGGUGCUUCCUCCUCGCCUUCCUCCCUUGUGCGCGUGAGACCAAUCCACCAUCGUCGGCUCUCCCUCGUAUGCUUUCAUUCGCACAUCAUUGCUUUCAA